CAGCCCCUUCCUGCCUUGAACCCUUGACAAUAUCCACUUUGAAGAGUUCAGAAGGCUCCUAGAAACCUGCAGGGCUGAUGUCUCACUGCUGAAGAGAGGCAGAGUGUAGGAGGGGCUGUCAUUCUGUAGGCCACACAUCAGUAACAAGCAGAGGUAGAAGACAUGUGCAUCCAGGGUCAGUUUUCUCCCUCCUCAUCAGUAACAAGCAGAGGUAGAAGACAUGUGCAUCCGGGGUCAGUUUUCUCCCUCCUCAGCCCACAUCCCAGCUCCCGCAUACCAGGACCGGCAUCCAGAGAGCCGUAUGUGAGUAACAGAGUAACAGCCAUGGCUGUGGAAACACCAGCAUGUACGGGGGUCAGCAGGAGGUCUGGAGAAGUAACAGAGUAACGGCCACAGCUGCGGAAACACCAGCAUGUACGGGGGUCAGCAGGAGGUCUGGAGAAGCUACUCUUUGGCUGGAUGGGAGGAGACUGGUGGGGUACAGAGUAGCAGCCUGAGGUUGUGUUUUCAGAUGAGGGCCAGUCUAUACUGCCAGCCAGAGGAGGGCUCCCAUCUCUUCUUCAUUGGCUUGCAGUCUCAGCUUUCCUCCCCCAGAUCAGCAAAAGCAGAAGCAACAGUAUGUAUCACACACACACACACACACACACACACACACACACACACACACACACACACACACA